UUGAGAUGCUGUCGACCAGGGCUGUUCUCUCAGUUACAAGUUCAUCUUGCUCCGCUGUCUAACAGGAACAGACUGACUCUACAGGAUCUCCGCUAGUACGUCAUUACUGAAUUACAGGGCUACAUUAGCAUCCAGACUAUUUGCAUAGUAUGUUUGCAGUUAUGGAAGAUAAGUGAUUUGGAUCGUGGCAGCAGCUUAUGUUUACUGAUCCUAAAGUGAACCCUUAGUGAACCUACACUUAAAUAUUCAGGAAUGGGAUAAGCUGCAAGGUCCUGAUGAUGUUUGUCUCACAAUCUUUUGCUGCUUGAGGCGGCAGCUGGUAUAUGGGAGCUUGGCUAUUUCUUGUAUUUCCUCACAAGCCAGCCCCCUGAUGACGUUUGCGGUCCAUCUGUACAUCCUGAAAACGG